GUUAAUUACCUAUGAUGAGACUCUGACUUUCACAGAAUGCCUUAGCCCUUUGUAAUUUUCAGGUUCUGGCUUAUUCACAAGCUUUUUCAUGAAUAACUGCAGUCCCUCAUGAGUAAUAAAGGAAGAUACAGCUCCACAAGAGAAAAUGAGCUCAUGCGUGCAUGAGCUCCCUGUCAGUUUGCUUUUUGCAGUCUUCCAACAACAUCUCAUCGGCCCCUGUAACAUUUCAUCGGUCCCAUAUAAUUCCUGGGAAUCUGGAGAGCAGAAGAGCUGCUAUUUCUAUGCAAAUGGUGAUACGAUGAGGAAAGGAGAGGAGAGGAGAGGAGAGGAGAGGAGAGGAAAGGAAAGGAAAGGAAAGGAAAGGAAAGGAAAGGAAAGGAAAGGAAAGGAAAGGAAAGGAAAGGAAAGGAAAG
rnacentral:lncRNA from 1 species